rnacentral:tRNA from 1 species
GUUCAUAUGGUGUAGCGGUUAUCACGUUCGCCUCACAGGAAACACUCGCAAGAGCCGCUCCGGAACGCGAAAGGUCCCAGGUUCGAUCCCUGGUAUGAACA